rnacentral:rRNA from 1 species
UGGGGAAUAUUGCACAAUGGGGAAAGCCCUGAUGCAGCGACGCAGCGUGCGGGAUGACGGCCUUCGGGUUGUAAACCGCUUUCAGCAGGGGAAGAAGCCUUAGGGUGACGGUACCUGCAGAAGAAGUACCGGCUAACUACGUGCCAGCAGCCGCGGUAAUACGUAGGGUACGAGCGUUGUCCGGAAUUAUUGGGGCGUAAAGAGCUCGUAGGUGGUUGGUCACGUCUGCUGUGGAAACGCAACGCUUAACGUUGCGCGUGCAGUGGGUACGGGCUGACUAGAGUGCAGUAGGGGGAGUCUGGAAUUCCUGGUGUAGCGGUGAAAUGCGCAGAUAUCAGGAGGAACACCGGUGGCGAAGGCGGGACUCUGGGCUGUAACUGACACUGAGGAGCGAAAGCAUGGGGAGCGAACAGGAUUAGAUACCCUGGUAGUCCAUGCCGUAAACGUUGGGCACUAGGUGUGGGGG